AAUACCAGUAGAAACUAUUUAAGAAAGUUCAAUGAGUUUAACAAAGGUAGAAAAUGGCUCCAUGAUGAUAAACAUGAAAGAAUUCAUUCUGAGGAGAAAUGCUGUGAAUACCAUAAAAAUGGGAAUGGCUUCCGUCUUAAUGAAGUCCUUGUUCAGCAUCAGAAAAUUCAAAUUUUGGAGCAAUCUUUCGAGUACAUUGAAUGUAGGAAAACUUACCCUGAAAAUUCACUCUUCCUUAUACAUAAGAGAGUUUGCACAGGACAGAAAACCUUUAAAUAUACUAAAUAUAGGAAAACUUUCUGUGAUAUGUCAUCUCUUAUUACCCAUCAGCAAGCAUAUCCAAGAGAGAAUCACUAUGAAUGUAAUAAAUGUCAAGAAAAAUUCUUUGAGAAAUCCAUUCUCUUUGAACAUCAGAGUAUUUACCCUUUCAACCAGAAGUCAAAUCUCACUCCAAUGCAGAUGACUCACUCACCUGACAAUAUCAUUGAAUAUAAUGAACGUGGGAGCCUUUUCAGUGAAAAGUUAGGCCUUGAUGUACAACAGAUAACACAUCCAGGAGAAAACCACUAGGAGUGUCAUGAAUGUGGAAAAUCUUUCAACCAGAAAGCAGCCCACACAAGACAUCAGAGAACACACACACACAAGGGAAAAAUCCUAUGAAUGUAAGGAAUGUGGGAAAACCUUUUACAGGAAUCCAGACCUUAUUAAACAUCAGAGAAUUCACACAGGAGAGAAGCCUUAUGGAUGUCAUGAAUGUGGAAAAUCCUUCAGUGAAAAGUCAACCCUUACUCGACACCAGAGAACACACACAGGAGAGAAACCAUAUGAGUAUCAUGAAUGUGGGAAAGUCUUCUCAUUUAAGUCGUUCCUCACUGUUCCUCAGAAAACACACACAGGAGAGAAGCCCCAUGAAUGUUGGGAAUGUGGGAAAGCCUUUCUCAGAAAAUCUGACCUCGUUAAACAUCAGAGAAUUCACACAGGGGAAAAACUUUAUGCAUGUAUUGAAUGUGGGAAAUCUUUCUCUAUGAAAUCAACACUUACAAAACAUCUAAGAAUGCACAUGGGUGAGAAACCCUAUGAAUGUAUUCAAUGUGGAAAAUUUUUCUGCCACUACUUAGGUUUCUCAGAACACCUGAGAAGAAACCUUUUGGAUGUAAUGAAUGUGGGAAAACCUUCCGUCAGAAAUCAGCUGUUACUGUUAUCAGAGAACUCACAUAAAAUAGAAACCCUAUGGAUGUAAUGAAUAUGGAAGAUCAUUCUGUGUGAAGUCAAAACUCACUGCACAUCUUAGAACACACACAGGGGAGAAACCCUGUGGAUGUAAUGAAUGUGGAAAAUCAUUUUAUGUUAAGUCAAAACUCACUGUUCAUCAGAGAACACAUUUGAUGAGAAACCCUGUAAAUACAAUAAGUGAGGGCACUCUUAAUGAAUUCUAA